rnacentral:rRNA from 1 species
UUAAGCGACUAAGCGUACACGGUGGAUGCCCUGGCAGUCAGAGGCGAUGAAGGACGUGCUAAUCUGCGAUAAGCGUCGGUAAGGUGAUAUGAACCGUUAUAACCGGCGAUUUCCGAAUGGGGAAACCCAGUGUGUUUCGACACACUAUCAUUAACUGAAUCCAUAGGUUAAUGAGGCGAACCGGGGGAACUGAAACAUCUAAGUACCCCGAGGAAAAGAAAUCAACCGAGAUUCCCCCAGUAGCGGCGAGCGAACGGGGAGCAGCCCAGAGCCUGAAUCAGUGUGUGUGUUAGUGGAAGCGUCUGGAAAGGCGCGCGAUACAGGGUGACAGCCCCGUACACAAAAAUGCACAUAUUGUGAGCUCGAUGAGUAGGGCGGGACACGUGGUAUCCUGUCUGAAUAUGGGGGGACCAUCCUCCAAGGCUAAAUACUCCUGACUGACCGAUAGUGAACCAGUACCGUGAGGGAAAGGCGAAAAGAACCCCGGCGAGGGGAGUGAAAAAGAACCUGAAACCGUGUACGUACAAGCAGUGGGAGCCUCUUUUAUGGGGUGACUGCGUACCUUUUGUAUAAUGGGUCAGCGACUUAUAUUCUGUAGCAAGGUUAACCGAAUAGGGGAGCCGAAGGGAAACCGAGUCUUAACUGGGCGUUAAGUUGCAGGGUAUAGACCCGAAACCCGGUGAUCUAGCCAUGGGCAGGUUGAAGGUUGGGUAACACUAACUGGAGGACCGAACCGACUAAUGUUGAAAAAUUAGCGGAUGACUUGUGGCUGGGGGUGAAAGGCCAAUCAAACCGGGAGAUAGCUGGUUCUCCCCGAAAGCUAUUUAGGUAGCGCCUCGUGAAUUCAUCUCCGGGGGUAGAGCACUGUUUCGGCAAGGGGGUCAUCCCGACUUACCAACCCGAUGCAAACUGCGAAUACCGGAGAAUGUUAUCACGGGAGACACACGGCGGGUGCUAACGUCCGUCGUGAAGAGGGAAACAACCCAGACCGCCAGCUAAGGUCCCAAAGUCAUGGUUAAGUGGGAAACGAUGUGGGAAGGCCCAGACAGCCAGGAUGUUGGCUUAGAAGCAGCCAUCAUUUAAAGAAAGCGUAAUAGCUCACUGGUCGAGUCGGCCUGCGCGGAAGAUGUAACGGGGCUAAACCAUGCACCGAAGCUGCGGCAGCGACGCUUAUGCGUUGUUGGGUAGGGGAGCGUUCUGUAAGCCUGCGAAGGUGUACUGUGAGGUAUGCUGGAGGUAUCAGAAGUGCGAAUGCUGACAUAAGUAACGAUAAAGCGGGUGAAAAGCCCGCUCGCCGGAAGACCAAGGGUUCCUGUCCAACGUUAAUCGGGGCAGGGUGAGUCGACCCCUAAGGCGAGGCCGAAAGGCGUAGUCGAUGGGAAACAGGUUAAUAUUCCUGUACUUGGUGUUACUGCGAAGGGGGGACGGAGAAGGCUAUGUUGGCCGGGCGACGGUUGUCCCGGUUUAAGCGUGUAGGCUGGUUUUCCAGGCAAAUCCGGAAAAUCAAGGCUGAGGCGUGAUGACGAGGCACUACGGUGCUGAAGCAACAAAUGCCCUGCUUCCAGGAAAAGCCUCUAAGCAUCAGGUAACAUCAAAUCGUACCCCAAACCGACACAGGUGGUCAGGUAGAGAAUACCAAGGCGCUUGAGAGAACUCGGGUGAAGGAACUAGGCAAAAUGGUGCCGUAACUUCGGGAGAAGGCACGCUGAUAUGUAGGUGAAGUCCCUCGCGGAUGGAGCUGAAAUCAGUCGAAGAUACCAGCUGGCUGCAACUGUUUAUUAAAAACACAGCACUGUGCAAACACGAAAGUGGACGUAUACGGUGUGACGCCUGCCCGGUGCCGGAAGGUUAAUUGAUGGGGUCAGCGCAAGCGAAGCUCUUGAUCGAAGCCCCGGUAAACGGCGGCCGUAACUAUAACGGUCCUAAGGUAGCGAAAUUCCUUGUCGGGUAAGUUCCGACCUGCACGAAUGGCGUAAUGAUGGCCAGGCUGUCUCCACCCGAGACUCAGUGAAAUUGAACUCGCUGUGAAGAUGCAGUGUACCCGCGGCAAGACGGAAAGACCCCGUGAACCUUUACUAUAGCUUGACACUGAACAUUGAGCCUUGAUGUGUAGGAUAGGUGGGAGGCUUAGAAGUGUGGACGCCAGUCUGCAUGGAGCCGANNNNNNNCUUGAAAUACCACCCUUUAAUGUUUGAUGUUCUAACGUGGACCCGUAAUCCGGGUUGCGGACAGUGUCUGGUGGGUAGUUUGACUGGGGCGGUCUCCUCCUAAAGAGUAACGGAGGAGCACGAAGGUUGGCUAAUCCUGGUCGGACAUCAGGAGGUUAGUGCAAUGGCAUAAGCCAGCUUGACUGCGAGCGUGACGGCGCGAGCAGGUGCGAAAGCAGGUCAUAGUGAUCCGGUGGUUCUGAAUGGAAGGGCCAUCGCUCAACGGAUAAAAGGUACUCCGGGGAUAACAGGCUGAUACCGCCCAAGAGUUCAUAUCGACGGCGGUGUUUGGCACCUCGAUGUCGGCUCAUCACAUCCUGGGGCUGAAGUAGGUCCCAAGGGUAUGGCUGUUCGCCAUUUAAAGUGGUACGCGAGCUGGGUUUAGAACGUCGUGAGACAGUUCGGUCCCUAUCUGCCGUGGGCGCUGGAGAACUGAGGGGGGCUGCUCCUAGUACGAGAGGACCGGAGUGGACGCAUCACUGGUGUUCGGGUUGUCAUGCCAAUGGCACUGCCCGGUAGCUAAAUGCGGAAGAGAUAAGUGCUGAAAGCAUCUAAGCACGAAACUUGCCCCGAGAUGAGUUCUCCCUGACCCUUUAAGGGUCCUGAAGGAACGUUGAAGACGACGACGUUGAUAGGCCGGGUGUGUAAGCGCAGCGAUGCGUUGAGCUAACCGGUACUAAUGAACCGUGAGGCUUAACCUU